rnacentral:lncRNA from 1 species
CUCUGACCAAUGAGAGGCAAGCGGAAGUGACGGUUAUUCCUCCUGCGCGGGAGCUUUGGGGACGCACUUCUGGAUGCCUAGGCCUCUUCCGUUUGCCUCUGGGACUGGCGAUACUCGAGAUGUCUUGAGGCCUUCCAGACCUUGCUCCACCUCCACCACCAGGUCUCCAGUCCUGAGCCACAUGCUGCCAUUUUUGUCUCAGAAGCACCCCUCUUCCAGGUGGAAGAUUGAAGGUCUGAAGAGUGGGAAGUCCCAGGAACAGGCAAUUCCAGGAAGAUAUGAGGAAAAUCAAGAAAGAGAAGGAAACUGAAGCUAGUGGGAAGUGCUUCAAGUUGGAGAUGAUGCUGAGAUGGCCAAAAAGUGAGAGGUGGAAAACAUUUGGAGUGAGUUAAGGAGAGAACGCGAGGCAAGGAAGUGAAGCUGAUUUUCAAACCUGAGUGAAUGAAUGAAUAAACGGACCUGGGAAUUGAUCAACAAUGGCUGCUGCAUCGCGUAAAGAGAGACGACCAGGUGUCAGCUGGCUGUCAACUGAUCUAGGAUGGUCUUGGAGGGACAACGAGGGCAACCCCAUGUCUCUUCUUUAGCAGGCCAGCCCAGACAUGCUUUCAUGGCUGAAUAGGAGCCAGCCUGGUCAUGGGAGCAAUUUUCAAGCAAGUCUCUGCUUGAAUGUCACAUUUACUAACAUCCUGUUGGCCAAGGUGCAUCCCAUGGCUGAGCCCAGUGUCCAAGUGAAAGGGCACCAGGAAGUUCCCUGCAGCGCUGUGGGUACUGGAAGAAUGGGCGCCAUCUUCAUGACAGCAGCAUGCUAAGUUACAGAAAGUGAGCGGCGUUCUAGACAAAGCAAGCUCAUCUGUGAAUGGAUCAUGGCGGAAACCUGACCACAGUAUGUUGGGAUUUAUGUGUUUGACAUUUUCUAUAAUAGAAAGGCAGAUCAAAAAUAAGGCUCCAGUGCCUCCACUCAGGAAAGCUCAAGUAGGUUUUCUUGAGAAUUUUUAGUGGAUACCCUGUUUUGCAAUGUUCUUUUCUUUUUCUAAUGAGGCUGAACCAGAUUGUAAUGCCAUGAGGCUUCUACAUGGAGAGCUGGACGUUGGUGAGGAUUGGGUGGAGAAGGCCGGGUGGAGGCUGGGCCUGGGAGAAGAGCAGCAGAUUCCCAAACGUACUGGUAUUGGUGCAUACUCUGAGAAAGACAUCUCAGAGCACUUCUGCCGUCAGUUACGAAGUUUCAAUAUAAGAAUUCUUUCUACACAUGCCUGCCUGUCUUUUCUUGUGACGCUUUGACAGAAGAAUUGUUUUCCUUAUGUGUCACAUACUAUACGGUUAGACACUAACACAUGUUUGUUUGAGCAUAUGACAAUUUCAACCUGACAAGCUUGAGGCUUUCCUUCUCCUCUCUCUCUUUCUUUCCUUCCUUCCUUUCAUGCACUUAUUUUAGAAAUAUGUAUGAAACUUCUCUUAGAGGCAGGCUCUGUGCUAGGUACUCGCGAUAAAAGGGUAAACUGAAAAACAGAUCUAAUUGAGUCUAGAACUUGUUAUUUCAAGCUGAAAUUCAUAAUGCAUGCAAAAACUCUAUGACAGCUUAGGUCCACCAGGACACUCUUUUUAUGAUAUUUAACAACAGAAAUUCAG